UAAAAAAAUGAAAAAUGUUGAAAUCGCAGGCAAGGUGAACGCACGCGGGCGAAAGGUGCUCGAGGGCCAGGAGACGAGCAGCAGAUCGAGGAGACCGAGAAGUUUAUCGGGUCAGGCGUAUGCAUGUGUGCAGUAUAAACAACGGUAUAUACGUUGUAUCCGAAGGAAAAAGAGAGCAUCGUCUGAAACGCAGAAGGGAGGCCGCAGGCCGCAGGCGUUUGGGUCCGUUGAAUUCCGAUUAUGGUCGGGCGCUAAAGUUUGUAAGAAGCCAAAGGGAAGUCUCCUUCCUGUUCGUAAUGAAUCGAAAUAAUUGACCGAACGUCGUCAUGCUUGCUGCGUAUUUUGUAACGAGCACGUGCAAAGAGGAAAUGAAUAUACAUUUAUCUAAAAGAGUUGUUCGCUAUCGAAGAAUUUAUCAGCGGAGAAUCGUUGAUAGCAGUACGAACGAAUGAACGAAGAAAGGAAGAAACGAAGGAAAGAAAGAACGAAAGAAGGAGAUACACAUAAUUCUGCUUUUUAAUUGCGACCGGUCGUGGUGUGUUAUUCGGGCGGGGUUUAAGCGCGUUCUCACGAAGUUUGCAAGGGAUUUUCUCAUAGCACCCGGAUAUUCUCAUCGUCGUCGUUGGACUAAUUAACACGACCCUGGAAUUGCUGGAGAUUCCGUGGCGAUUUCUUGAAUCGACUCGUCUCUUUCGUCGAGUGACGCUUUAAUUGCUGUGAUUUAUGCGUGCUUGAUUAAGAGGAAAACCAUUUACCGCGUCCAGUUUGAUCGCGAUACGGAGAUUAUGCAAAGGAUUGCUGGAAAAGUUGGUUGCCGAGUUAGACAUUCGCGUUUCCGUAACCGAGUCACGAAAUUGCUGCUCGUUUCUGCCGCGUCCGCGUCCUCCUUCCCGGAACAGGUUUCUCGAGUGUUGUCGCCAACAGAUACCUACGUUCACCGAUUCUGUGCAAUUACACGGGGGCGAGAAAUGGAAGAAGAAUUAGCAAAAGCUGUUGCUACCAAAGCUCCUCGAUAUCCUUGGAGAACGGAGAGUCACGGAUGCAUGGGAAAAGAGGCAGACGUGCGUGGAUGCGGAAAAUUAAUUCGACGGAUGUGACGUCAUGGAUCGGUACUCGCAUUUCCUAUGCGAGUCUUCUGAGAAACCUGUACGUUUCAGAAGAGAUCCUUUAUAGCCUACAUACAUACAUACAUACGUACGUAUCCGGUUACCGGACUCACGAUCAGAGAAUCAGCUUGUUCCGUGUGAAUUGAUCGGCUCGGAAGCAGCAGCACGAGGAAUCAGCUUCCGC